GGCGUGGUCAUCAGUUUCCUGAGCAAGGGGAAUUCGUGGAGGGAUAUGUUGAAAACCAGGAAUUCCCAUGCAUGACUGUGGUUAGCUUGAGCUAGGAUGGUCACGUUGUCCCACUUAAAUUGAUGGCCUGCAUUGUCCGAGUUCACUGAGAUUAAGUCUCCUCAGCAUUCUGGUGAUCCUGUUUGCUAGCUGCACUGUCUGCAAACACCAGCUAUCAGCAAAACGAUACAACAAACUUUCUCUCGUCAGUACACUUGGAUAAUGCAGGCCAUCAAUCUAAUUAGGAUGUGACCAUCCAAGCUCAAGCCAACUACAGAGACGCACGGGAAUUCUUAGAGGACUGGUUUUCAACCCAUAAUGCAAUCAACAAACAUGUGGAAUUAGAUCCCAUAUACAAACCCACGCAGAACAGAACCAGAAAUGACACAAACCAACUUAACAGACCACAUCAUAUAAAUACCAAGCAGAGUAGAACAACAUCACUUCAUUGGAGGCUGCACUGAUGUUACCUAGCAUGGUGAUGAAACGUCUGUACGGUAAUCAGCCAGCUCGGUGAGCAAGCCAAUAACCCCACAGAGGGUGGUGUUAAAGGGCUGCAUUUCAGACUACAGGCCUGUGACCAGUAGUGUGCCACAAGGAUCUGUGCUGGGUCCACUAUGUGAACACAGGAGGUAUGGUUAUUAAGUUUGCAGAUAAUACCAAAAUUGGAGGUGUGGUGGACAACGAAGAAGAUUACGUCACAGUAAAACGGGAUCUUGAUCAGAUGGGCCAAUGGGCUUAGGAGUGGCAGGUGGACUUUAAUUUAGAUAAAUGUGAGGUGCUGUAUUUUGAAAAGGCAAAUAAUAGGACUUACACACUGAAUCAGAAGAUUCUGGGAGUGUUGCUGAACAAAAAGACCUUGGAGUGCAGAUUCAUAGUUCCUUGAAAUUGGAGCCGCAGGUAGACAGGAUAGAGAAGAAGACAUUUGGUGUGCUUGCCUGUAUUGGUCAGUGUAUUGAGUAUAGGAGUUGGGAGGUCAUGUUGUAGUUUAACUUUUGGAAUACUCCGUGCAUUUCUGGUCUCCCUACGAUAGCAAGGAUGUUGUGAAAGUUGAAAGGGUUCAGAAAAGAUUUACAACAAUGUUGCCAGGGUUGGAGGGUUUGAUCUAUAGGGAGAGGCUCAAUAGGCUGGGGCUGUUUUCCCUGGAGCAUGGGAGGCCGAGGGGGUGAUCUUAUAGAGGUUAUAAAACAAGGAGAGGUGAGAAUAGGGUAGAUAGACAAGGUCUUUUCCCUGGGGUGGGGGUUCCAAAACUAGAGGACAUAGUUUUAAUGUGCGGGUGGAAAGAUUUAAAAGGAGAAAUUUUUUCAGAGGGCGUGGAAUGAACUGCCAGAGGAAGUAAUGAAUGCAGGUACAAUUACAACAUUUAAGAUAUUUGGACAGGUACAUGAAUAGGAAAAGUUUAGGUGAAUAUGGGACAAAUUUAAUUUGAUAAAGUUGGUCCACAUGGAUGAGUUGGACUGAAGGGUUUGUUUCCGCUCUGUAUGACUCUAUGUCUGAGGUCAUCCAAGAGGGAUGUGUAGAGUGAGGUGAAGAACUGGAAUAUAGCACUGGGAUUGCACCUUUGGAAACAGAGCAAAUACAAAGGGGCCAAAUGGCCUCUUCUGCACUGUAACCAUUUUGUGCAUGGUUCUAUCAAAAUACCAGAGAAGUGGGUAAACUUGAUUAAACUGAAUCUUUUCCAAAUGAUCCAAAAUUGUUGUUGUGGGUUUUUCCCAGUCCCAGCUUCGGUUCCAGUAACUAGGUUAACAGAAUUAUUACAUGGCAGGGGAAUUGAGUUUAAGACCUGUGAGGUUAUGCUGCAGCUCUACAAAACUUUGGUUAGACUACACUUGGAAUAUUGUGUUCAGUUCUGGUCACCUCAUUAUAGGAAAGAUGUGGAAGCUUUAAAGAGGGUGCAGAGGAGAUUUACCAGGAUGCUGUCUGGACUGGAGGGCAGGUCUUAAGAGGAAAGGUUGAGGGAGGUUCAGAUCGGUAUAACAUGUCGGCACAACGUCGAGGGCUGAAGGGCCUGUACUGUGCUGUUAUGUUCUAUGUUCUAUGUUCUAGCUAGGGGUUUUCCUCAUUGGAGCGAAGAAGGAUGAGAAGUGACUUGAUGGAGGUGUACAAAAUGAUGAGAGGCAUAGAUAGAAUGGACAGGCAGAGACUUUUUCCCAGGGCGGAAAUAACUAUUACUAGGCACAUAAUUUUAAGGUGAUUGGAGGAGGGUAUAGGAGAGAUGUCAGAGGUAGGUUCUUUACACAGAGUAGUGGGAGUGUGGAAUGCGCUGCCGGCUGUGAUUAGGGUAUGCAGGAUAGAUUGAUCUCAGUGGGAUAAUAGGUUGGCACAACAUCAUGGGCCAAAGGGCUAUACUGUUCUCUGUUCUAGAAGAUGGCCGUUCAGCCGAAUAUGGAACCAACCGAUCAUAAAUUGAAAACGUCUGAGAGAGUGCUGUGUAAUUUAUACCAGUCCCUAUGUGGGCACAGGGCCCUCUACACCCACAUCACAUACUCUCACCAGCUUUCAACUCGGAGAUUGUGAUAGCACUCGAUAACAUAAU